UACCAGCACCCCGAGUGGUCGGGACGAUUAUGGGGCCUAAAGCAUCCGUAGCCGGUUCUACAAGUCUUCCGUUAAAUCCACCUGCUUAACAGAUGGGCUGCGGAGGAUACUAUAGAGCUAGGAGGCGGGAGAGGCAAGCGGUACUUAGUGGGUAGGGGUAAAAUCCGUUGAUCCAUUGAAGACCACCAGUGGCGAAGGCGGCUUGCCAGAACGCACUCGACGGUGAGGGAUGAAAGCUGGGGGAGCAAACCGG
rnacentral:rRNA from 1 species